GACGAACGCUGGCGGCGUGCUUAACACAUGCAAGUCGAACGGAAAGGCCCUGCUUUUGUGGGGUGCUCGAGUAGCGAACGGGUGAGUAACACGUGAGUAACCUGCCCUUGACUUUGGGAUAACUUCAGGAAACUGGGGCUAAUACCGGAUAGUAGCUCCUGCUGCAUGGUGGGGGUUGGAUAGUUUCGGCGGUUGGGGAUGGACUCGCGGCUUAUCAGCUGGUUGGUGGGGUAGUGGCUUACCAAGGCUUUGACGGGUAGCCGGCCUGAGAGGGUGGCCGGCCACAUUGGGACUGAGAUACGGCCCAGACUCCUACGGGAGGCAGCAGUGGGGAAUAUUGCACAAUGGGCGGAAGCCUGAUGCAGCAACGCCGCGUGCGGGAUGACGGCCUUCGGGUGGUAAACCGCUUUCGCCUGUGACGAAGCGUGAGUGACGGUAAUGGGUAAAGAAGCACCGGCUAACUACGUG
rnacentral:rRNA from 1 species